UAAUACGGAGAGGGCAAGCGUUGUUCGGAUUUAUUGGGCGUAAAGCGCGCGUAGGUGGCAUGGUAAGUCGAAUGUUAAAGACCCACGGCUCACCCGGGGGUAUGCGUCCGAUACUGCCGUGCUAGAGUGCGGGAGAGGAAAGUGGAAUUCCUGGUGUAGCGGUGAAAUGCGUAGAUAUCAGGAGGAACACCGGUGGCGAAGGCGGCUUUCUGGCCCGCAACUGACACUGAGGCGCGAAAGCGUGGGGAGCGAACGGG
rnacentral:rRNA from 1 species